GACGAACGCUGGCGGCGUGCUUAACACAUGCAAGUCGAACGGAAAGGCCCUGCUUUUGUGGGGUGCUCGAGUGGCGAACGGGUGAGUAACACGUGAGUAACCUGCCCUUGACUUUGGGAUAACUUCAGGAAACUGGGGCUAAUACCGGAUAGGAGCUCCUGCUGCAUGGUGGGGGUUGGAAAGUUUCGGCGGUUGGGGCUGGACUCGCGGCUUAUUAGCUUGAUUGGGGGGUUGUGGUUUACCCAGGCUUUGACGGGUAGCCGGCCUGGGAGGGUGACCGGGCACAUGGGGCCUGAGGUACGGCCCAGACGCGAACGGUAGGCAGUGGUGGGGAAUAUUGCACAGUGGGCGGAAGCCUGAUGCGGAAACGCCGCGUGCGGAAUGACGGCCUUCGGGUUGUAAACCGCUGUCGCCGGUGACGAAGCGUGAGUGACGGUAAUGGGUAAAGAAGCACCGGCUAACUACGUG
rnacentral:rRNA from 1 species